GUGAUGGAUUUUUUUGCACCAAAGUUCUAUUUUGAGGAUGAGCUAUCUCGAUAUAUUAUUAUUUAUUUUAUUCUUUUCAAAUAUUCAUGCACUGCCCUCGCCCCUCUCUCUCCCUUCUAUCUCGUCGCCCGUCGUCUCUACGAUCGUGCCCUGAUGGCAUCCGCUUCAAUUUAUAAACUGGUUUGAGGAACAUGCCCAUGCCAC
rnacentral:lncRNA from 1 species